rnacentral:lncRNA from 1 species
GGAUUACAACUCAACAUCAGAUUUGGAUAGGGACAGAUAUCCAAACUCUAUCAAGGGCUAAUCAGGUCCAUGGUUCCUGACUUCUGACAGAGAUGGCAACUGGAAUCCAGGUUGUCUUCUGCCUUCUGCUUUGAUUUCUAUAUGAGGGUGCAUCAAAAUCCAUUCCGAUGGGCUUCCUUUAUAAAGACCCUUCCUUCCAGCAGGACAACAUCCAAGAAAAAGCCAGUGACUGUUCCUGAGGGCGCCUGUUAAGAGCUGGCUUUUUGGCUGUGGUGACCAGUCAGUCACGACCACUCUUCCGAGAGCAACACCAAGUGGAAACCCCGCCAAGUGGGCUUUUCAGGAACCCUCUCACCACCCAAGGCCUUUGGA